UUUGGUCGGUAGCGACGGUGUGACAAAGGAGGUGCGGCCGCUUCCUCAGCCCCUCUCUGAGAUGUCGGAGCUCCCGGGGCUUUUUUUCGUUAUAGAAUCAAGAACGGGGUGUUCAGUGAUGCCCCCCGCCGCCCCUCCUAAGCCAUCCUCCUGGCUUUAAGGGCAAGGCUUCCGUCGACCCAUUCUCAGGCCUCUCCCUCCGUGAAACCCUGAAACAAUCUCAUGACCGAAAGUAGCAGAGACACCUUGGAAUUCCCCAAAGUCUGUUUCCUUUUCUCCUGAGCACACGGACUAUGAUUCCCAGCCUCCUUUGUACUUAGUUGGAGUCAUGUGACUGACCUGAUACACGAUGGAGUGUGGACAGAAACAAUGAAAGCCAUUUAUGGUUCGGCCCACAAAACCUCCAAAACUUCCUGCAAGUGCAUCAUAUUCUCUUUAUUUACCUACCAGCGGAAUGAAGAUUUCAAAGAAUCUAGAGGAAGUCAAAAUGGAAAAAUAGAAGCCUAGGGCCCCGAGUUAAUCUUUGGAGGAAUCCUGCCCCAGAGAACUGCAUGAGCAGGAACACCUGUGUUGUAUUUUACUUGCUUUAUUAAAUCAAGCCUCUAAAAUUUU